AAUUUUGUUUUCGAACAAGGGAAAUUGUUGAGCUUUCAAGGGAGAUAUUGCCAAAUUUUCUAUAUGAAUUUGGAAAUAGCUAAAAUUUUUGUAGUAGAGUUUAUAGUUAGAAAGUACAAUUUAAAAGUGUUAAUUAUAAAUAAUUUAAGGGCUAUGUGGACUUAAUCCUCUAUAGGAGAUACGUAGGUAGCCUUUGAGUGCGG
rnacentral:misc_RNA from 1 species